rnacentral:tRNA from 1 species
GCCUUUGUGGUGUAGUGGUCAGCACGCUCCACUCGUAUUCGAGAGGUCCGUGGUUCGAGUCUCGGCGAGGGCA